AUGAACGCUAGCGACAGGCUUAACACAUGCAAGUCGAGGGGCAGCACGAUGUAGCAAUACAUUGGUGGCGACCGGCGCACGGGUGAGUAACGCGUAUGCAACCUACCUAUCAGAGGGGAAUAACCCGGCGAAAGUCGGACUAAUACCGCAUAAAACAGGGGUUCCACAUGGAAAUAUUUGUUAAAGAAUUAUCGCUGAUAGAUGGGCAUGCGUUCCAUUAGAUAGUUGGUGAGGUAACGGCUCACCAAGUCCACGAUGGAUAGGGGUUCUGAGAGGAAGGUCCCCCACACUGGUACUGAGACACGGACCAGACUCCUACGGGAGGCAGCAGUGAGGAAUAUUGGUCAAUGGGCGAGAGCCUGAACCAGCCAAGUCGCGUGAAGGAUGAAGGAUCUAUGGUUUGUAAACUUCUUUUAUAUGGGAAUAAAGUGAGGAACGUGUUCCUUUUUGUAUGUACCAUAUGAAUAAGCAUCGGCUAACUCCGUGCCAGCAGCCGCGGUAAUACGGAGGAUGCGAGCGUUAUCCGGAUUUAUUGGGUUUAAAGGGUGCGUAGGUGGUUAAUUAAGUCAGCGGUGAAAGUUUGUGGCUCAACCAUAAAAUUGCCGUUGAAACUGGUUGACUUGAGUAUAUUUGAGGUAGGCGGAAUGCGUGGUGUAGCGGUGAAAUGCAUAGAUAUCACGCAGAACUCCGAUUGCGAAGGCAGCUUACUAAACUAUGACUGACACUGAAGCACGAAAGCGUGUGGAUCAAACAGGAUUAGACACCCUCGGCGCCCAAGCAGUAAACGAUGAUUACUAGCUGUUUGCGAUACACAGUAAGCGGCACAGCGAAAGCGUUAAGUAAUCCACCUGGGGAGUACGCCGGCAACGGUGAAACUCAAAGGAAUUGACGGGGGCCCGCACAAGCGGAGGAACAUGUGGUUUAAUUCGAUGAUACGCGAGGAACCUUACCCGGGUUUGAACGCAUAUUGACAGCUCUGGAAACAGAGUCUCUAGUAAUAGCAAUUUGCGAGGUGCUGCAUGGUUGUCGUCAGCUCGUGCCGUGAGGUGUCGGCUUAAGUGCCAUAACGAGCGCAACCCUUAUCACUAGUUACUAACAGGUCAUGCUGAGGACUCUAGUGAGACUGCCAGCGUAAGCUGUGAGGAAGGUGGGGAUGACGUCAAAUCAGCACGGCCCUUACAUCCGGGGCGACACACGUGUUACAAUGGUGGGGACAAAGGGCAGCUACCGUGCGAGCGGAUGCAAAUCUCCAAACCUCAUCUCAGUUCGGAUCGAAGUCUGCAACCCGACUUCGUGAAGCUGGAUUCGCUAGUAAUCGCGCAUCAGCCAUGGCGCGGUGAAUACGUUCCCGGGCCUUGUACACACCGCCCGUCAAGCCAUGGGAGUUGGGGGUACCUAAAGUCCGUAACCGCAAGGAUCGGCCUAGGGUAAAACCGAUGACUGGGGCU
rnacentral:rRNA from 1 species